GUGGGAAUAGCUCAGUGGUAGAGCAUGUGCUUAGCAUACACAAUGUCCUGGGUUCAAUCCCCAGGACCUCCA
rnacentral:tRNA from 1 species